rnacentral:lncRNA from 1 species
UCAAGAUAUGGGCAUUCCUGGGUUAAAAGUUCUCUUCAGAAGGGGCUGAGGAGGAUGGAAAAUGAAGACUCUCCCAAAGGGUGGAACCAAGAGCUGUGGAGGACAAGGACACCAGAGCCACUCCCAGUGAACAGAACCACAGCCUAAUCAAGGAACAGACUCUAUCACAAAAUCAAGAGGAGCUGGAUCAAGCCUCAGGUAGAACAUGAGGUGCUGGACUUUAAGAAUGAUGACAGGAUGGAAUAUGGACUUUGGAGCUGGGCAGCCCUUUUGUGACCAUGAGGCAACAUUGAAGAUGCAAGCCACAUGCUAAGACAGAAGAAAAUAAAGACAGAACUAAGCUGGGGCAUGUAUGACAUUUCAAGCUCUCAGAUCAGCCCUUGAUGGCCACCAUCCAUAUUUAUUGACAUGAAAAGAAGUCCUCAUUUUGUCAAAGCCAAUGAUAUUCAGGACUGUUAUUAAUAACAAAAUACAAUUCUUCCCUCUACCCACUACAGUGUAUCAUGAAACUCUUCAAACAUAUAGGAAAGUUGAGUAUGGAAUCUCUAUCUCCAGCCUUGAGGUCUCACCUGGACUCUUGGUUAUUCAAUGGACUACUCUGCAUCUCCAUGUGCAUCUCUAAUAUAGACUCCUCAACCUUAAUGUAUCCACAACUGAACCUUUGGUUCUGUACCACUCCCGUCUUGCUCCUUGUCUCUCCGUUUCCCCAUCUCAGAAAUUAACAACUUCAUCUUUCCAGUUACUUUUCCUUCCUUCCUUCCUUCCUUCCUUUCCUUCCUUCCUUCUCUCUCUUUUCUUUUUUGAGAGUCUCACUCUGCCACUCAGGCUAGAGUGCAGUGGUGCACUGCAACCUCCACCUUCUGGGUUUUAGUACAGACAGGGUUUUACCAUGUUGGCCAGGCUGUUCACGAACUCCUCACCUUAAGUGAUCCACCUGCCUUGGCCUCCCAAAGUGCUGGGAUGACGGGCGUGAGCCACCGUGCCCGGCCCAUCUUUCCAGUUUCUUGGGACAAAAACCAAAGAUCUACUUUUCUCCUUUGCCAUAUGAGGACACAUUUAAAAGGCUGUGAACAAGGAUGCAGGCUCUUACCAGUUACCAAACUGCUGGUGCCUUGGUCUUACAUUUCCCAGCCCCCAGAGUGCAAGAAAAAAAAUUUUGGUUGUUUAUAAACGACUCAGUCUUGGUAUAUUUGUCAUAGCUGUCUGGGCAGACUAAAACAUGCACAUAAACAACCCUGUUUUCUGCCUUAACAAAUCAGGUAUUUAAAUAUAUGUUCCUGAUUCUUCCCAUAAUGUGUCAUUUGUAAUUUCAGUAAUAUAAUUUCAGACUGUUUAAAAAGCUUUUUGUUCAACCCAGUUUUACAACUGGAUUACUGAGUUGUCUAAAAUCCAAAACACUAUCAUUUAAGCCAGCAUUUUAGAUGCCUGAUCGUUUCAGUCAGGGUUCUCCAGAGAGACAGAACCAAUAGGGGAUACAGACAUGAGAGGGCAUUUAUUAAGGGAAUUGACUCAUGCAAUUAUGUAGCCUGAGAAAUCCCAUGACGGGCCAUCUGCAAGCUGGAGACCCUGAGAUUCUGGCAGCAUGGCUCAGUCAAAGUGUGACAGCCUCAGAACCAAGCUGAUGGCGUAACUCAGUCCAAAGACCCAAGGCCUGAGAACCUCAGGGCCACUGGUAUAAGUCCCAAAGACCAAAGGCCGGAGAGCCUGGAGUUGUGAUAUUGAAGAGCAAGAGAAGAGUGUUCCAGAGAGACAGAGAGAGAGAGAGAAUUCACCUUUCCUCUGCCUUUUGCUCUGUUGGGCUCACAGCUGAUUGGAAGGUGCCCAAAGAUAUUGAUGGCAGAUCUCUUCCACUCAGUCCACUGACUCACAUACCAGUCUCCCCUGGAAACACCCUCAGAGACACAUCCAGAAAUAAUGCUCCAUCAGUUGUCUAGGUAUUCCUUAACCCAAUCAAGUUGACACCUAAAAUUAACCAUCACAUUGAUUUACUUCCCGAAUCCUCUAUCCCAACUCUCAAAUAUGGUUUCAGGAUUCCUG